rnacentral:rRNA from 1 species
GACGUAGGGCGCAAGCGUUGUCCGGAUUUAUUGGGCGUAAAGAGCUCGUAGGCGGCCUGUUGCGUCGACUGUGAAAACUCACGGCUUAACCGUGGAACUGCAGUCGAUACGGGCAGGCUAGAGUUCGGUAGGGGAGACUGGAAUUCCUGGUGUAGCGGUGAAAUGCGCAGAUAUCAGGAGGAACACCGGUGGCGAAGGCGGGUCUCUGGGCCGAAACUGACGCUGAGGAGCGAAAGCGUGGGGAGCGAACAGG